ACCCUACUUAUAGCUGGCAGUUAUGAGUAUUAAAGCACAUAAGCACGUGUGUUGAUAAGUAUGGUGUUCGUGUGGAAUUUUCAGCUAAAAGUCUACAAAGCAGUGGAAUUAAUCAAUCAUCGUGGAGUGCACGGUGCUUGGACAAUGAGAUGAAAUUGAAAAACUAUCAAGGAACUUGAAGGAAGGUGGGUAGGGAUGACAAAAUUCUCCACGGGUUUGGAGCUCCAUGGAACUCCACCCCAAAUGAGGAAAAUUUUUAAUAAUUUUUGGGAAAUGAGGUGGGGAGUGGGAGAAAAGUAAUCCCCAAAUUAUUAACGGGGUGGGGUUUGGUAUUGCACUCCCCACCCCACCCCCACCCCAAUCCCCAUUA
rnacentral:lncRNA from 1 species